rnacentral:rRNA from 1 species
AUGAAUAGAAGCAACAACACCGUCUGUGCAGCCUGUGCAAAGGAACGUCAGCUUCGACGGCUUGUACGUCCGGGCUGCAGACAACAGAGGACCGAUGAUAGGUGCGUCCCCAACAACAGGAGGAAGGGUGUGGUGCUAGUAUGUAUGUCCAGGGCCAUCCGGAUGAAAGGCGGCGGCAAACUGAGACAUGAUGUUGCUGGAAGAGGGAAAGCCUGCAGUAGAUGGACGUGCAUAGAUAGGAGGCCGUUCUCUCCAAUUCACCACUACCACAAGCACGACGCCACGGCCAUGAGCGGCACCGCCCCUACCUCUCCUCCGGCUACAACAUACAAGGAUAGCAACAUGGUGAUCUGUUAG